rnacentral:rRNA from 1 species
UACGUAGAGUGCGAGCGUUGUCCGGAUUUAUUGGGCGUAAAGAGCUCGUAGGCGGUUUGUCGCGUCGGCCGUGAAAUCUCCACGCUUAACGUGGAGCGUGCGGUCGAUACGGGCAGACUUGAGUUCGGUAGGGGAGACUGGAAUUCCUGGUGUAGCGGUGAAAUGCGCAGAUAUCAGGAGGAACACCGGUGGCGAAGGCGGGUCUCUGGGCCGAUACUGACGCUGAGGAGCGAAAGCGUGGGGAGCGAACAGG